rnacentral:rRNA from 1 species
AUCUCCGGGGGUAGAGCACUGUUUCGGCAAGGGGGUCAUCCCGACUUACCAACCCGAUGCAAACUGCGAAUACCGGAGAAUGUUAUCACGGGAGACACACGGCGGGUGCUAACGUCCGUCGUGAAGAGGGAAACAACCCAGACCGCCAGCUAAGGUCCCAAAGUCAUGGUUAAGUGGGAAACGAUGUGGGAAGGCCCAGACAGCCAGGAUGUUGGCUUAGAAGCAGCCAUCAUUUAAAGAAAGCGUAAUAGCUCACUGGUCGAGUCGGCCUGCGCGGAAGAUGUAACGGGGCUAAACCAUGCACCGAAGCUGCGGCAGCGACGCUUAUGCGUUGUUGGGUAGGGGAGCGUUCUGUAAGCCUGCGAAGGUGUACUGUGAGGUAUGCUGGAGGUAUCAGAAGUGCGAAUGCUGACAUAAGUAACGAUAAAGCGGGUGAAAAGCCCGCUCGCCGGAAGACCAAGGGUUCCUGUCCAACGUUAAUCGGGGCAGGGUGAGUCGACCCCUAAGGCGAGGCCGAAAGGCGUAGUCGAUGGGAAACAGGUUAAUAUUCCUGUACUUGGUGUUACUGCGAAGGGGGGACGGAGAAGGCUAUGUUGGCCGGGCGACGGUUGUCCCGGUUUAAGCGUGUAGGCUGGUUUUCCAGGCAAAUCCGGAAAAUCAAGGCUGAGGCGUGAUGACGAGGCACUACGGUGCUGAAGCAACAAAUGCCCUGCUUCCAGGAAAAGCCUCUAAGCAUCAGGUAACAUCAAAUCGUACCCCAAACCGACACAGGUGGUCAGGUAGAGAAUACCAAGGCGCUUGAGAGAACUCGGGUGAAGGAACUAGGCAAAAUGGUGCCGUAACUUCGGGAGAAGGCACGCUGAUAUGUAGGUGAAGCGACUUGCUCGUGGAGCUGAAAUCAGUCGAAGAUACCAGCUGGCUGCAACUGUUUAUUAAAAACACAGCACUGUGCAAACACGAAAGUGGACGUAUACGGUGUGACGCCUGCCCGGUGCCGGAAGGUUAAUUGAUGGGGUUAGCGGUAACGCGAAGCUCUUGAUCGAAGCCCCGGUAAACGGCGGCCGUAACUAUAACGGUCCUAAGGUAGCGAAAUUCCUUGUCGGGUAAGUUCCGACCUGCACGAAUGGCGUAAUGAUGGCCAGGCUGUCUCCACCCGAGACUCAGUGAAAUUGAACUCGCUGUGAAGAUGCAGUGUACCCGCGGCAAGACGGAAAGACCCCGUGAACCUUUACUAUAGCUUGACACUGAACAUUGAGCCUUGAUGUGUAGGAUAGGUGGGAGGCUUUGAAGUGUGGACGCCAGUCUGCAUGGAGCCGACCUUGAAAUACCACCCUUUAAUGUUUGAUGUUCUAACGUUGGCCCCUGAUCGGGGUUGCGGACAGUGUCUGGUGGGUAGUUUGACUGGGGCGGUCUCCUCCUAAAGAGUAACGGAGGAGCACGAAGGUUGGCUAAUCCUGGUCGGACAUCAGGAGGUUAGUGCAAUGGCAUAAGCCAGCUUGACUGCGAGCGUGACGGCGCGAGCAGGUGCGAAAGCAGGUCAUAGUGAUCCGGUGGUUCUGAAUGGAAGGGCCAUCGCUCAACGGAUAAAAGGUACUCCGGGGAUAACAGGCUGAUACCGCCCAAGAGUUCAUAUCGACGGCGGUGUUUGGCACCUCGAUGUCGGCUCAUCACAUCCUGGGGCUGAAGUAGGUCCCAAGGGUAUGGCUGUUCGCCAUUUAAAGUGGUACGCGAGCUGGGUUUAGAACGUCGUGAGACAGUUCGGUCCCUAUCUGCCGUGGGCGCUGGAGAACUGAGGGGGGCUGCUCCUAGUACGAGAGGACCGGAGUGGACGCAUCACUGGUGUUCGGGUUGUCAUGCCAAUGGCACUGCCCGGUAGCUAAAUGCGGAAGAGAUAAGUGCUGAAAGCAUCUAAGCACGAAACUUGCCCCGAGAUGAGUUCUCCCUGACUCCUUGA